CGAACGCUGGCGGCGUGCCUAAUACAUGCAAGUUGAGCGCUGAAGGUUGGUACUUGUACCACCUGGAUGAGCAGCGAACGGGUGAGUAACGCGUGGGGAAUCUGCCUUUGAGCGGGGGACAACAUUUGGAAACGAAUGCUAAUACCGCAUAAAAACUUUAAACACAAGUUUUAAGUUUGAAAGAUGCAAUUGCAUCACUCAAAGAUGAUCCCGCGUUGUAUUAGCUAGUUGGUGAGGUAAAGGCUCACCAAGGCGAUGAUACAUAGCCGACCUGAGAGGGUGAUCAGCCACAUUGGGACUGAGACACGGCCCAUAGUCCUACGGGAGGCAGCAGUAGGGAAUCUUCGGCAAUGGACGAAAGUCUGAGCGAGCAACGCGGCGUGAGUGAAGAAGGUUUUCGGAUCGUAAAACUCUGUUGGUAGAGAAGAACGUUGGUGAGAGUGGAAAGCUCAUCAAGUGACGGUAACUACCCAGAAAGGGACGGCUAACUGCGUG
rnacentral:rRNA from 1 species